UAUAUACUCCCUCCAUCCGGAAAUACUUGUCAUCAAAAUGGAUAAAAGGGAUGUAUGUAGAUGUAUUUUAGUUUUAGAUACAUCCCUUUUUGUCCAUUUUGAUGACAAGUAUUUUAGGACGGAGGGAGAAUAAU
rnacentral:pre_miRNA from 1 species